UACAAUAGAUUUUUGUUAUUGACAGAAAAAACCGUAUUCGAACUGGUCGCAAAAUUGUGCAUAUUUUUGUGUAGAUAACUGCUGUUAUAGAAGAUUUUAGUCGUGUUUUGUCACAAUUUUGGUUGUUAAGCACUGGUGUGUUGAAAAAUCUUCAAAGUUGAAAAGUCAAAAUUAUUAUAAAAAUUGCGGAAAAUUUGAAAUAAAACGAAAAUCUUUGCUUGAAAUCGUAAAAAUAAUGAAGCACCUCUGCUACACAAUAUGUGGUGCGGAAUUAUAAAACCACAGGUGAAGCAAACAAAGUAUUAGGAAAUAUAAAUUGAUCGAAGCUAACAAAAAGAAAUCAUUCAUUCCUACGUCCUAAAUUCCUAAGUAUCUUACCGUAGGUGGCACAGAACAGAUAUAAAGGUAUAAAUAGGUUAGGACAUAGAAAAAAGUUGUUUUCGAAUAAAUUAUGUACUCAACAAGAUUUUACUAGGAAACAAUUAACGGAGCUUUUAGGUUAUCAAGAUUUAAGAGACGGAGACGUUAUUUCCCAGCAAGUAGAAGUAAAUCAUCGGAAAUACCAGUAGGUAUUUCUAUAUCUUUCUGGUGAAGAUUCGGGGGGCAUCAUGUAAGAUAAUUUGUGGGCAUGCUGUUAGAAAAUCAUUCAUAACUAUAAUUAACAAACGAAAACGGUAUGGAUAUAAAUCCUGCGGGAGAAAUUUGAAUUAUCUUUUAAAUUUGAAAUUUAAAUGUCAAAAUUAAUUUUAUUUAUUUAUUUUCAUUAUAUUUGUAUACAAAAUCACACUAUACAGAACACAAUGAUUAAAACAUUGUACACUACGUAAAAACGAUCGAAUCUAAAUUGUUUUAAUUCACGUCAACUUGCCCUGAUUGUCUGGUACCAAACAAAAACGGCUAUGGUAUCCAAAAAUUAAUACUGAAACACCUAGAGAAAAUUGUGAUUUUCUCACACACGUAGAUGUAUAUUAUUCAUUAUAUAUAUUUUUUCGGAAUUUUGGCAGUACAUUUUCAUUAGAAACUAUCUUCUGGUUUGUUUUCUUUCUACGAUACAGAGUGAUUUACAAAAUCUACAAAGGGAACGAUAGAUAAAAACUGAUUACUGUGAGGUAUAUUUUCUCAUUCUGAAUCUACUUUUAUUUGUUUUUCCAUAAAUCACCCUGUGUACAACGUGGAUCGACGUCCAGAUUCUUUUCUUUUUAAAUUGCAAGAAUAUCAAUGAUCUUUAUUUUUUUUCGUAUUUAACAAUUUAGCAAUCUAUAAAUUAUCAACACAACUAUAUCUUUUAUAAAAUUAUUUAUAUUAUUAUUAUUAGUUUAUAUUUGUGCAUAAAAAGUUCGUUUUUUUAUUUAAAUCUUUAUCUUGCCCUCGAAAUAUUACUUAUUCUGUUGAACACUUGCAAAAAUUGUUUCAAUUGAUUAGAAGACUGUAUUCUAAUUCAUAAUCUAAAAAACUAAAACCUGAAUCGACGAUUUAUCAUUGAUUCCAUCUAAAUGUAGUGAGUUUGUGUUGUUUCUGUGCAUUUUCUAACAGUGCCAUAAAAUCGUUAACAAUCAAUAAUUGUAUUAAAGCUUUCAAGUACAUAAUAUCUAUCGAGGAAUAUUUAAUUAUACGAGUUUAAGAGUCUUUUCUCCUGUGCAACAUAACUUUAAACUUAAUUUUCUUCUUUUAUAUUGAAUAUAGUAUUGAAAUAAAAUUUGAUGGAAUCAAUGAAGUUUGCAUUUUCUUAAUAGGACCGUUAAUUAUUAUAUCAAAACAUUUCUAUCAUCUUUUUUUAUAACCUAAGAAUCUCAAACAACUUUUUUUACUAAGAAAAAUAGAUUUACCAUUUCCUUUUUCUCUACAUUCGCGUUGACAAUACAAUUUACAAUUUUUUUUUAUUAUUUCGUUUUCAAUUUCUCAUCCAUUAUACAAUGCUUUUUUGUAUGACAAUGAUUAUAUUAUUACAAAUUACAAUAAUAAAGAAGUACACUUUAUACAGGUGUUUAUUUUUUAAUCCCCUACGGCGUUAUUACUUUGACACUAUCAAUUCCAAGUAUUUAUGUAUUAAAUAAAUUCUUCUAUAUCCAAUUAAUUAAUUAAUUAAUUAAGAGACAAGCUUAAAAAAUAAACACCUGUACAUACAGGAAAUUAUUGAAUUAAGUGCAUAUGUUUGUAUGUAGAGCAUAUCUUAAUUAUGUUUUUACUUUUUCUUUGUGUUUGGGAACAUGAUUAUUUAAGUUUAUUCAGAUCAAUGAUAUUAGGUGUUUUUAUAAAACUGUGAUAAAAUAAUUUAAAACUUUAAUAACAACAACAUAAUUAAACAACCAUCAUUAAUCCUUUAACGAACGUUUAAAAUAAUUAUUAAAAAAUCUGUUUUAUUGUAAUUUUAUUAUCUAAUUCAUCUUAAAAAUCUUUUAAAACAGACUCAAACACAUCAAUUUAAAACAAACUCAAACAGAUCAAUCUGUCUCAAAUGGGACUGAGAAGUCCCCCUAGACCUACUAGUUCAGUUCUUAGAUCUCUGACUCAGGAAAGAUUUGUCCUGAAUAUGGGGCUGAGAAUAUAAUAAAAAAAA
rnacentral:lncRNA from 1 species